CUUUUUUUUUUUUUUUUAAACUGGAGAUGACAUCUCCAAGAUGGUUUUGAACUCCUGGGCUGUUUGAGCCUUGGCCUCCCAGAGUGCUAGGAUUACAGGUGUGAGCCACUGCUCCCAGCUGGUUCUACCUCAAUUUUAAUGGAAAACCUUUACCACUAAGUUAACCCCAGGCCCAAAUGGCAUUAGUGGUUAAUUAUUCUAAUAUUUAAGGAAAAAUAACACCAUUCACACAGAAAUUGUUCAGAGACUAGAAAGACUUUGUAGUUUGUAUGAGGUCAGCAAACCUUUGAUAUCAACACCCAAUAAAAUAGACCCAUCUCUCAUUAACAUUGAUAUAAAAAUUAUAAACAUAAUGUUAGCCAUUUAUAGGCCAGGCACAGGCCCAUAAAUUGUCUAAUGUCAGCACUUUGGGAGGCCAAUGCAGGAGGAUUUCUUGAGCCCAAGAGUUGAAGACCAGCCUGGGCAACAUAGUGAGACUCUGUCUUUAAAAAAAAAAAAAAAUUAGCUGGGUGUGAUGGGCGCCCCUGAUGUCCCUGCUACUUGAAGGGUCAGGUUAGAGUCUUGUUUGAGUCCCGGAGGUUGAGGCUGCAGUAAGCUGUGUUCAUGCCCACUGUACUUUAGCCUGAGCAACAACGUGAAUCCAUGUCUCCAAAAGAAAAGAAAAA
rnacentral:lncRNA from 1 species